rnacentral:rRNA from 1 species
CGUGCAUGGUCGUCGUCAGCUCGUGCCGUGAGAUGUUCGGUUAAGUCCGCUAACGAGCGCAACCCUCGCUGUGUGUUACGAGUGUCACACAGGACCGCCGGUCUUAAGCCGGAGGAAGGUGGGGAUGACGUCAAGUCAGCAUGGCCUUUAUGUCCAGGGCUACACACACGCUACAAUGGUCAGCACAAUAGGUAGCCAAGCCGCGAGGUGGAGCCAAUCCUCAAAGCUGGCCUCAGUUCAGAUCGCAGGCUGCAACCCGCCUGCAUGAAGAUGGAGUUGCUAGUAACCGCAGGUCAGCUAUACUGCGGUGAAUACGUUCCCGGGGCUU